ACUCAAAGGAAUAGACGGGGACCCGCACAAGCGGUGGAGCAUGUGGAUUAAUUCGAUACUAACCGAAGAACCUUACCCAGGUUUGACAUCGAUCGUAAGCUCAAGAGAUUGGGCCCUCCCCCACAAGGGGACGUGAAGACACUUGUUGCAUGGCUGUCGUCAGCUCGUGCCGUGAGGUGUACGGUUAAGUCCGCCAACGAGCGCAACCCUCGUCCUGUGUUACCAGCAAGUAAAGUUGGGGACUCACAGGAGACCGCCGGUGUAAGCCGGAGGAAGGUGAGGAUGACGUCAAGUCAGCAUGGCAGUUACGCCUGGGGCUUCACACAUGCUACAAUGGGCGAAACAAUGGGCAGCGAUACCGCGAGGUGGAGCCAAUCCCAAAAAUACGCCCCCAGUUCAGAUUGCAGUCUGCAACUCGACUGCAUGAAGGCGGAAUCGCUAGUAAACGCAGGUCAGCUAUACUGCGUUGAAUACGUUCCCGGGUCUUGCACACACCGCCCGU
rnacentral:rRNA from 1 species